rnacentral:rRNA from 1 species
AUACGUAGGUGACAAGCGUUAUCCGGAUUUACUGGGCGUAAAGGGCGUGUAGGCGGUCUUGCAAGUCAGAAGUGAAAUUCCUGAGCUCAACUCGGGCGCUGCUUCUGAAACUGCAGGACUUGAGUGCUGGAGAGGAUAGUGGAAUUCCUAGUGUAGCGGUAAAAUGCGCAGAUAUUAGGAGGAACACCGGUGGCGAAGGCGGCUAUCUGGACAGUAACUGACGCUGAGGCGCGAAAGCACGGGGAGCAAACAGGAUUAGAUACCCUGGUAGUCCGUGCCGUAAACGAUGAAUACUAGGUGUAGGGGGUAUCGACUCCCUCUGUGCCGCAGUUAACACAUUAAGUAUUCCACCUGGGGAGUACGGCCGCAAGGUUGAAACUCAAAUGAAUUGGCGGGG